UUCUUUGAUACGAAAUAUGCGUUCUAUUCACUGCAUCAUUAUUUUAAUUUGUUUGAUGAAUGGAGGGGAAAAGAACCGCUAGAAAAAUAGCCCACUAGUCGAACACGACCUCAUACCGAACAUACCAAAAUUAUCUCUUUUGGGAUAAUUUAAUGUGGUGUUUUUUGUAACUGCGUUUUCGAUAUAUUU
rnacentral:snoRNA from 1 species